UACGUAGGGUGCAAGCGUUGUCCGGAAUUAUUGGGCGUAAAGAGCUCGUAGGCGGUUUGUCGCGUCGAAUGUGAAAACCCGGGGCUCAACUCCGGGCCUGCAUUCGAUACGGGCAGACUAGAGUUCGGUAGGGGAGACUGGAAUUCCUGGUGUAGCGGUGAAAUGCGCAGAUAUCAGGAGGAACACCGGUGGCGAAGGCGGGUCUCGUGGGCCGAAUACUGACGCUGGAGGAGCGAAAGCGUGGGGAGCGAACAGG
rnacentral:rRNA from 1 species